GUGAAAGGUGCUGUGACCGCCCUCCGGGUUGUGGCUGGUGGCCUUCGGUGUUUCGGGUUUGGCAGUUCACUCACCAAGGUGAUCUGAUGGAGUGCACUUCGCACGAUUCCAAAGAAGGGAGAAGACAGAGGAGAAUGCCAGAUGAAGACAGAAACAGAGAUUGAAGUUAUGUGGCCAUAAUUCAAGGAUUGCUGGCAACACCAGAAGCCAAGAGAAAGAUGAGGAAGAAUUCUCCCCUAGACCUUUCAGAAGGAGCGUGGCCCAGCCAACACCCUGACUUCAGACUUCUGGCCUCCAGAACUCAGCCUCCUGGCCGGGGAUAGCCAAUAGCCCCAGCCCACUGAAAGCCUGGUGAGCAGAAAGGGAAGAGAAACAAGGGUGUUCAUUCACUGGUAGGAUGUGUUUCCUGAACGGCUCCUGCUCCUGCUGGACAAGCCCACAGAGGGCCCAGCUUCCAACAGGUGAGCCUUCAUGCCCCACCACUACUUUUUAUUUGAUUUGAUUUUAUUUUUAGACGGAGUUUCACUCUUGUUGCCCAGGCUGGAGUGCAAUGGCGCAAUCUCGAGUCACUGCAACCUCUGCCUUCUGAGUUCAAGUGAUUCUCC
rnacentral:lncRNA from 1 species